rnacentral:snRNA from 1 species
UUGCUUGCUUAGGCAGCACACUUACUAAAACUGGAAUGAAAUGAAGAAGAUUUGCAUGGCCCUUGCACAAGGAUGAUGUGCAAAUUUGUGAAAUGUUCCAUAUUUUU